AACGAACGCUGGCGGCGUGCUUAAGACAUGCAAGUCGAACGGAAAGGCCCCCUUCGGGGGGUACUCGAGUGGCGCACGGGUGAGUAACGCGUGGGUAAUCUGCCCUCAGGACCGGGACAACCCUGGGAAACUGGAGCUAAUACCGGAUAAGACCACGAGCUCGUCAGAGCUUGCGGAAAAAGAUGGCCUCUUCUUGAAAGCUAUCGCCAGAGGAUGAGCCCGCGUCCCAUUAGCUUGUUGGUGAGGUAACGGCUCACCAAGGCGACGAUGGGUAGCUGGUCUGAGAGGAUGAUCAGCCACACUGGAACUGAGACACGGUCCAGACUCCUACGGGAGGCAGCAGUCGGGAAUUUUGGGCAAUGGGCGAAAGCCUGACCCAGCAACGCCGCGUGAGGGAUGAAGGCCUUCGGGUCGUAAACCUCUGUCGGGAGGGAAGAACGUGAUCCAUUCAAAUAGGGUGGAUGACUGACGGUACCUCCAAAGGAAGCACCGGCUAACUCCGUGCCAGCAGCCGCGGUAAUACGGAGGGUGCAAGCGUUGUUCGGAAUCAUUGGGCGUAAAGCGCGCGUAGGCGGCUUGGUAAGUCGGGUGUGAAAGCCCGGGGCUCAACCCCGGAACGGCACUCGAAACUGCCUCGCUAGAGUCUCGGAGAGGAAGGCGGAAUUCCCGGUGUAGAGGUGAAAUUCGUAGAUAUCGGGAGGAACACCAGUGGCGAAGGCGGCCUUCUGGACGAUGACUGACGCUGAGGUGCGAAAGUGUGGGGAGCAAACAGGAUUAGAUACCCUGGUAGUCCACGCCGUAAACGUUGAGUGCUAGGUGUCGCGGGUAUUGACCCCUGCGGUGCCGCCGCUAACGCAUUUAGCACUCCGCCUGGGGAGUACGGUCGCAAGGCUAAAACUCAAAGGAAUUGACGG
rnacentral:rRNA from 1 species